GUCUACAGCCAUACCACCCUGAAUGUACCCGAUCUUGUCUGGUCUCAAAAGCUAACCAGAGCCGGGCCUCGUUAGCACUUGGAUGGAAGACAGAUCUUCAAAAGAGACUGCUCAGAGACAAGCAGUUUGGAGACA
rnacentral:rRNA from 1 species